AUGGUGCUGUGGACACUGUGGGCUUGAAUCUGGACAUCCUCUCUUCCUGGUCUGUUGUUCACAAAGGGCCCGGGCUCCUCCACAUAGAAGAUCUGCUUGGGAAAAGCCUGCCCGGUCAUUAUUCCCCAGCUUGCGGGAUCCCGGUUCCCCGACCAGGGAUUCAACCUGGACCACGGCAGCGAAAGCACUGAGUCCUAACCACUGGACCGCCAAGGAAUUCCCAGGGUUCUGCAUCAAGCGGAUUCCUCCCAGGGCCACUUCCCCAAAGACACAAGUUUUAUUGAAGCCACACCUUGAGGGGGAGCUGCCUGAACUGCAUUAGACAUUCAGUUCACGUGGAAGA